UUUUGUGUAGCUGAUGAGCCUCCCCACUUCAGUGAAUACAGAUUAGUACAGUGAAAGCUUAGCAUUUCUACGUAUCAUGGUUGACAUGCCCAUAAACCAAUCUGCUGGUAACUCUGGAGCGCUGACUUUCCACUUGAGCAUGCGGGGGCUGAUGUUUCUCUCCACGAAGUAAGGCACCGUGAUUUGGACGGCUGGCAGAGGGCCCGACGUGGGGCGCCCCGCUGGAGUCCAGAAAAUAAACCAGCUCCCGACUGGGGAGGGGUGGGAGCCGUGCAGAAGGCACACGACGGGGCAGUGCCGCAAAGGCGUGGCCAGCGGCGCCGCCGAGCACAGCCGAUCGGCACACGCCUGCAGCGCGUUUGAAAUCCUGGCUGGGGACGGGCGGCGGCAGCUCCCCGCAGCCGUGGCGGAGCGCAGCGCUCCGCUGCGCCCGCGGCAGCGUUCGGCGACCACAAAGCACGACUGAGGGACUCCGGCUGCGCUGCGGUCUCUGCCUUGGCAGUCCUUCUGAGGCUCGGGCAGGUCGCCUUCUGCUUCUUAACCUGCUUUUCCAGACCUUCCCCCUCUCCGGUUUUCGGGAGGAGAAAAAUUUGCCGGAGAAGUGAGCAACAAGCAAAGUGGCAAGAUCAAUCAGAAGAGCGGAGCUGCAUGGACCCCCCGCCGGCGGCAGCGAGGAGAAGGGGAGCGGAGGUGCGGGGCCCGCGGGGAGCCCGGCUCUCCCGCCGGCUGCGGGGCGCUCCUGAUGCCGAGCAGGAAAGGGCUUGGACAAAUAGUUAUGGUUUGGCAGCCGCUGCCCCAGUGAUACCUAUAAUCCAGGGAGGAUGCAUCAGAAGUGAAGGAAUGAGGGCAUGAAUAGAGCAGGGGU
rnacentral:lncRNA from 1 species